rnacentral:rRNA from 1 species
AGGACGAACGCUGGCGGCGUGCCUAAUACAUGCAAGUCGAACGCUUUUUCUUUCACCGGAGCUUGCUCCAUCGAAAGAAAAAGAGUGCCGAACGGGUGAGUAACACGUGGGUAACCUGCCCAUCAGAAGGGGAUAACACUGGAAAACAGGUGCUAAUACCGUAUAACACUAUUUUCCGCAUGGAAGAAAGUUGAAAGGCGCUUUUGCGUCACUGAUGGAUGGACCCGCGGUGCAUUAGCUAGUUGGUGAGGUAACGGCUCACCAAGGCAACGAUGCAUAGCCGACCUGAGAGGGUGAUCGGCCACACUGGGACUGAGACACGGCCCAGACUCCUACGGGAGGCAGCAGUAGGGAAUCUUCGGCAAUGGACGAAAGUCUGACCGAGCAACGCCGCGUGAGUGAAGAAGGUUUUCGGAUCGUAAAACUCUGUUGUUAGAGAAGAACAAGGAUGAGAGUAAAAUGUUCAUCCCUUGACGGUAUCUAACCAGAAAGCCACGGCUAACUACGUGCCAGCAGCCGCGGUAAUACGUAGGUGGCAAGCGUUGUCCGGAUUUAUUGGGCGUAAAGCGAGCGCAGGCGGUUUCUUAAGUCUGAUGUGAAAGCCCCCGGCUCAACCGGGGAGGGUCAUUGGAAACUGGGAGACUUGAGUGCAGAAGAGGAGAGUGGAAUUCCAUGUGUAGCGGUGAAAUGCGUAGAUAUAUGGAGGAACACCAGUGGCGAAGGCGGCUCUCUGGUCUGUAACUGACGCUGAGGCUCGAAAGCGUGGGGAGCGAACAGGAUUAGAUACCCUGGUAGUCCACGCCGUAAACGAUGAGUGCUAAGUGUUGGAGGGUUUCCGCCCUUCAGUUCUGCA